AGACACGGACCAGACUCCUACGGGAGGCAGCAGUGAGGAAUAUUGGGCAAUGGAGGCAACUCUGACCCAGCCAUGCCGCGUGCAGGAAGACGGCCCUAUGGGUUGUAAACUGCUUUUAUACAGGAAGAAACACUGGUAUGUAUACCAGCUUGACGGUACUGUAAGAAUAAGGACCGGCUAACUCCGUGCCAGCAGCCGCGGUAAUACGGAGGGUCCGAGCGUUAUCCGGAAUCAUUGGGUUUAAAGGGUCCGCAGGCGGUCAAUUAAGUCAGAGGUGAAAUCCCAUAGCUCAACUAUGGAACUGCCUUUGAUACUGGUUGACUUGAGUCAUAUGGAAG
rnacentral:rRNA from 1 species